rnacentral:rRNA from 1 species
UACGUAGGCGGAAUGCCGAGUAUCUUGUGAAAUCCCUCGGCUCAACCGAGGAAUUGCAGGGUAAACUGGCAUUCUUGAGGCAGGUAGAGGUAACUGGAACUCAUGGUGGAGCGGUGGAAUGCGUAGAUAUCAUGGGGAACGCCAAAGGUGAAGACAAGUUACUGGGCCUGUCCUGACGCUGAGGUACGAAAGCGUGGGUAGCAAACAGGAUUAGAUACCCUGGUAGUCC